rnacentral:lncRNA from 1 species
UAUUAACAGCCAUGAACCAAUCAUCUUCGAAGAGUACAUCGCUUCUGGAGAGAGAAAAAAGGCUCGAUUUUGAAGAAGCUGACAUGGCUCUGCUCAGCUCUAUGUCCUUGGAUAUGGAUGGCAAUGGCGGGGAAAGUGGCACUGGGUAAUUUACUAGACUUUUGGGGUCAUUUUCGAACUGGGUUCUCGAAGAAUCGGACUGGUUCUGGUCUGCCAUCGUCAGAAAUCGGCCUCUUGUGAAAAUUCUGAAGGGUGAAGGAGAGCGGAGACUAGCUGGAGGAGGAAGAAGGGAGAGGAAGGGCAUUAUAGUCACUAACAUUGAAAAUCGG